GGGAGCAGGGGGCAAACCUAAAGAGGCACCUGGCUCAAGGACAGACAAGGAGUGAGGCCUCCCCUCCCAAAGCUCACAGCCAUGUCAAGAAGUUGACCAUUCAAGCCGGAGCCCUCAGCAAGCGCCCAAGGAGCUCUGCUGACCGGUCCUACCCCAAAAUCUUUGUCUCUGUCUGGACUCCAGCCCUUGAAGACGCGACUAACAAUUUCUCUUUCCAGGAAGACCCACAGGGCUCCUGCCCUGCCCAGGAUGCUCCUGAAUCUUCUGACCAGGACUCGGAUUCUGCCAGAGUGGCAGCGGAAACUGGAAGCGGCCGAGGCUCUGCUGAUUCUGAGAGACUCUCCCCAGGCAUCUUCUGGCUCCAGCUCCGUGCUCCAUCCCUGCGUGGCAACAAAUCCUGCUGAAGAUAGAGGACCCCAGCCUCCUAACCCUUCUCUGCGACCCAGGGAGCCAGCUCCAUUUCUAUGCCUACUGGGCAUCUGGGGUGCAUCUCCCUCUUGACCUAGAAGCCCAGAAGAGGAGGCCUCACUAGAGUGCUGCCUAUUUAUGCAUUUGCAAAAUGUUUAAUACCCAAUACGCUUAACAUUUUCUUAAACCUUCACUUUCUUUUACAAGCCUUUCAGACCCUUUUUUAUGUGGGGCAAUUCCUUGGCUGAGGGUGCGUAUUCUUGUACCUCCAUUUCUUACUGCUUUGUAUUUUGGGGCCUUCUAUGUCUCUUAUAAAAUCAGGGUUGUGCAAUCUAAGCUGGUCAGUCUCUAAAUAGGGUUCUGUAGGAGGUCAUGUGUUCAUAUGCCAGAGUUUUCAUUUGACUUGUGAUUCCAAACAUAGCUGUGCACUCACGUCUAUAUCCAUGCUUGUCAAAAUCUAAGGGUGUUUUCAUUUUGUGUCCACGUUUAUGUGUGUGAACAAAUAAUAAACCCUUGCUGUUGUAAGGCAGUGAGAUAGAGGCG